GUUAAUUGUGUCCCAUAGACCGAGUCACAUCUCGACCUAAUUGCAAAGUGGAAGACAAAACCUCUCGACCCUCUCAGUCAUCUUCUUCACCACUUUCUCUUCCCCUUCUUAUCCAAAAUGAAAAUCUUGUGCCCUCCUCACUGCUAAUCCAAACCACUAAUUCAAUUCCUCAAGUUCCUUUCAAUUUUUCGAAAUCCAUACCAAAUCCGAGCGUCCUGACCUUGAGAAGCAGCAGCAGCGUGACGGAGGCGCCGAGGCGGUUACCUUAAUUCCUAAUUCUUCUUGCGUUGAGACAGGGGUUGAGUCUAGCCAUCUGCGUUUCGACUUGUUCUGGGGAAUCUCGAGCCUCUCAUCGUCACUGUCGAAGACCUCGAUGUAUAGCAACAGAUUUAUUCCAUGCCAAUCGUCGUCCAGGCUCCACCAGUUUGGGCUGAACGACAAGGCGUUGCCGGUGAAAUAUAGUGGAUUCAGAGAAGGCCAGUAGUCCUCUCCAGUCAUUGUGUUUCUUCGCUCUCUUUCUCUCUCUAAAUUUCCAAAUUUGAUUCUCACACUCUCUCUCUCAAAACCCUAACCCCCAUUCUCUAGACCACAAGACUUCCGCUUCUCAUUGCCGCUCGCCGUCGACCUGCCACGGCGUCGUUUCGGCUUCGUGUCGCAUUAUCGGUAUUUCUCGGCGUUGUCGGUGAUAGCCGGACGGAAGAAGGAGGGAGAGUGGGGGUUUUGGCUUUAUGGGACUUGUACGACGGCGUUGGUGAUUGGUCUUUGUUUUGAUCAACAUUCUGGCGUUUUGGCUCUCCGGAGAAGAGCUAUUGGGGUAUCGAAGGCUCUGUGGGAAAAGAGGUUUGUUGAGUGAAACUGCGAAGCACCUUGAUUGGUUGUUACACUGGCACAUUGAGUGAAGAGGCCUUCAAGGGGCUAGGGGACUUUUCAAAGGAGGAGCUGGACUCAGAGUCAGAGAGUGAGGUGGUUGAGCCGGCUAAUGAAGAUUUGAAAUUGUAUCUGAUGCUUCAAGGCUUUCCAAAGAGCAAAACAUGAGCAUGAGGCAUUAAAGAGGCAGCUUGAAACUUAUUUCCAGUUGAGAAGACAAGCUGGAAUGGCACAAAGGUCUUGAAUGCCACAUAGAUUGGCGAUUGCAUGAGGUGCCCAUAUAAUAGGGAGAAACUAGUUGAGAACUAUGUAUUUUGUCAAUCUCGUGAACUCCUAGCUACAAAAUAUUUGUUUUACUAUAGAAGGCACCCUAUUCAAGUUUAGCUACUGCAAUAUGCAGAUACUGAGUUUUGGUUAGCCAUAUAUAUAGAAGUAAUAUUGUUCGAAAAAUCUACUUCCUAGAUUUACCAAUAAUGCAAUUUAGAAGCCCUGUUUGCUUAGGCUCCAACAUUUCAAUUAAUUAGAAAUUUGGAACUGAACUUUUCAAUUAAUUAGUAAUACAGUUAGUCAGAAGAUACUAUGGAUACUGCAGCUGCUGUGCAAGUUCUUACUGAAUGUUGAUAUAAAAAGCAAAUCUGCAUUGUUAGUUAAGAGUUUGGAGUAUCAUGGUGACUUUCAGUUUCCAUUAGCUUGUAUUGCUUAAAUGUUGAGUGUCAAUCUUACUGCCCACAACAAACAAACAUAGACACACACAUAAUCCACCAUAAGCAAGAAUGUAUUUAACCCAAUUUACAUCAAUUUAUUAUUGCUUGCUAAAGACACUAUCAAUAUAUUUCAUCAGUUUACAUCAGUUUAUUAUUCCACCAUCAAAAUUUACAGCAGUUUAUUAUUCCACAAUAUAUUUCCUACUAUUUUUUAUCUGUGAUUUGCUGCCGUGGAUUGGAAUAUUGCAGCUCAAGAAAGCAACCACAAUCUCCUAAAAGCUGAGCUGAGAGGUACACACCAAGAUUGAAAUGGGGGAAAGGAAUUGUAUUAAAGAUUUCAUCUUUAGUAAUUUUACUAAUAUCCCAUCAGCUAAACUGAGUUUCAGUUUUGUAGACUAAUUCAACUCCGGGAAGAUUUGUUCUUAUAAGGAUAUGAUGAAAGGAGCAAACUUUUUCAUUUCAUUUAUUACCAUAAUUGGAGGAAGAAUUGAUCUCUAGUCAUUAGUCCAUAAGUUGCUGUGAAAGUUUUGGGGGUCCUGGCUUUUUGGGGAUGUGUGAGCUGUUUUUUUAGUUGGGUAGUAUGAAUGGAAGCUAUAGCAAUGCAAAUGUGAGCUCAAGCUCGAGUUUGAAUAGCAGCUCUCAUGAUACCGAGGAUGACCUGACCAUUGCAACUGUUUUGGCAGAAGAGGAAAAGCAGAAAAAUGAUGGCAAGCUGGGGAAAAGACUCUCCCACUUAGAUUUGAUUCCGCACACUCUCAGGGUGAAUGGGGAGAUACCUGACGUGAAUGAUGCUACUCAAGACCAUAAGAGGCUUUCAGAAAGUGUAAAAGUUGGAGCAGCUCAAGUCAAGUACGCUCAAAGAGAUCAUUCUGAAAAAGAAGUUAAAACUGGAGGACAAGCUGCUGGAUGCUCCACCCGACACAUUAGGUGCUGCUGUCUUGGCACUACACUAUGCAAGUAUGAGAGAACUUUAGUGGCAAAAUUUCUCUCAAUCACAUUUGAUUGUAUCAACUUUUGCUAUCUUUCAAUGUAAUUAGGUAGAAUGCAGUAGUCAUUAAACUAGCUAGAAUGCCUUUUGUACGGUAUGGAUACAAGAAUGUAUAUAUGAUUGACAAAUGCUAGCUCCUUUGGUACAUUAGAUGGUUGAAUUAGAAUAUUUCAAUGCCUAAAUCUUAUAUUAAGCAUUAUUUUUGUGCAAA